rnacentral:rRNA from 1 species
GUGCCAGCCGCCGCGGUAAUACGGAGGGUGCAAGCGUUAUCCGGAUUCACUGGGUUUAAAGGGAGCGUAGGAGGGCAGGUAAGUCAGCGGUGAAAUCUCCGAGCUUAACUCGGAAACUGCCAUUGAUACUAUCUGUCUUGAAUAUGGUGGAGGUGAGCGGAAUAUGUCAUGUAGCGGUGAAAUGCUUAGAUAUGACAUAGAACACCGAUUGCGAAGGCAGCUCGCUACGCCUAUAUUGACUCUGAGGCUCGAAAGCGUGGGGAUCAAACAGGAUUAGAUACCCUAGUAGUCC